rfam:Ictidomys tridecemlineatus contig028666, whole genome shotgun sequence.
AGGGAUGUAGCUCAGUUGGUCAAGUGCUUGCCUCACAUGCAAAGGCCCUGGGUUCAAUCCCCAGCACCUCAG